rnacentral:lncRNA from 1 species
GCACUGGAGAUGGAGCAGAGGUAACAAACUGAACCACAUGGCGGAGCUUGUCACCUUCACGGAAUUUCUACAAAAGUCACCAAUUUCCCCAGCAGAUUGGCGUUUGCUUUGUGUAUAGAGAUGCCUUCCGAUGGCACCUGGCUCCGUGCUCCUGGUGGGGACAUAACGUUGAGUCUACAGAAUCAUGUGAGGAGUUUUGGACUGCUCCCCUGGUUUUGUUACUCUCUGGGGUGGAAACAAAGUGUGAACUACAGCUGACAGAUUUCCAACAUUUAUGACACUCAGUGUUUAACCUCCAUGGUGUUCCCUGAUGUGGAAUGAGAGCCAUGUUCUGCUGAAAGGCUUGCCAUAGUAGAGAUUUCCCCAGGCGUGUUUGCUGACACUGAAGAUCAAACCCAUAGCUAAAGACUCCUCCACACUCAGUGUGCUCCCACGGUUUCUCCCUAAUGAACCCUCUGCAGUUGAACAUGUAUAAGCCUCCCCCAGAAAGUUUUCCCCACUUAUUCCUCUUCACCACUGUGAUCCUCUGACACCCAAAGUGUGUCCCACUUUCUUCAUAUUCACAAAACUAGAACAAUAUUGCAUCAGCUACUUGCUGUAACAAAACACUGUGACCAAGGGAACUCAUAAAAAGAAGAGUUUCUUUGGCUUAGAGUCCCAGAGGAUUGGAAUGCCUGACGGAGGAGCAAGGACACAGGAGCAGGAACAUGAAUCACAGAGCUCACAGUUUGAGCUGCAGGAAUGAAAAGAGACAACGAACUCAAAAUGACAUGUGACUUUUGGAACCUCAAAGUCUUUCCCCGGUGACAUCAUUCCUUCAGCAAGACCACACCUCCCAAACCUUCUCAAACAGCUCCUCCAACUGAAGACCAAGUGUUCAAACCGCUGAGCCUGUGGGGCACAUUCUCAGUCAAAGCAUCACAAGUAUCAUCUAGAUACAUCUAACGACAGAUGCUCAGGGCUUCUGGUGGGCCAUGGGGCUGGGAGGAGGGAGGUACUUGGGAAGACACAACCGGGUAGGAAAUGGUAUCUUUGCAUAGAGAAACCACUCACUUGUUAAGUCAAGCUAGGUGCACCCAUGUCGGAUGGGCAGUGCAAUCUGUAACCACAGGGCUUUCCUACCCAGCCUCUUUGUUCCCCGAAAUAAUGGCUCUGAGCCUUAAUAUUUCGUGAAUAAAUGCCAAAAGCUUUGGCUUGUUCCCCGAC